rnacentral:rRNA from 1 species
AACGAACGCUGGCGGCAUGCCUAACACAUGCAAGUCGAACGGGAUCCUAGCUUGCUAGGUGAGAGUGGCGGACGGGUGAGUAACACGUGGGAAUCUGCCCUUUUUGGUUCGGGAUAACCGCGGGAAACUGCGGCUAAUACCGAAUGCCCUCGAGAGAGGAAAGAUUUAUCGCCAGAAGAGGAGCCCGCAUCCGAUUAGGUAGUUGGUGGGGUAAAGGCCUACCAAGCCGACGAUCGGUAGCUGGUCUGAGAGGAUGAUCAGCCACACUGGGACUGAGAUACGGCCCAGACUCCUACGGGAGGCAGCAGUGGGGAAUAUUGGACAAU